GGGUGGACAACCAUCGAGAAAAGAAAGAAGGGAAAAUCGAAGGGGAGAGGCCAUUUUCUUCUUCUUCUUCCUCCUUUGCUCACUUCACCCUUUGCAAACUAUUUUCAACAUAACUUCCGAUAAUGAAAUCACACGAGGCUGGAAGCUAUACUUUCGUAUCACAGCCGUCUUCAAUCUGAUACCAUACCCACCCUUUGAAAACGGGUGUACAAAGAAAACGAGGCCCAAACAUAUGGACGUUUUCCGGCGACUUUCCUCCGAUUUCGGCCGACCCCGCUGGAACCUGGCCUCGACCCAAGUGAAAAUAAUGAUUCUUUCCCCGUGGGCUCUCCUAUAGCGAGUUGAAUCGAACUGGGCAAUAAGGAUUGGUUGCAUAUUUAGGGAAGAACCUUGAAAUCCUAACCUUAACUUGGUUCUCUUUAGAAAUGUAAGAGUUGGGUUUGUUUUAUAAGUAUUAAUGUUAUUCCAGAAUCGAGGCCAGGUAUAUUUGAAUA